UGCACCUCCUCACGGUGGCAGAGCCCCUGGGCGGUUGGAGCUGGGGAUGUGGGCCUUCCAUCUCGCUCCAGUGGCUGUUCCUGGAGGUAGGCAGGACGGAUGUCACCAGAGGCACCGGUGAGGCCCCGAGGAGAGAGUGGAGCAGCUGUCUGCCCGAAAUCCCUCAGCCUGGUCAAUCUUCCCAUGGGCCCAGAACCCUCGGAAGCUGUGAGCCAGAGGUCUUAGCCCUGGAGACUACCACGCUGUGAGGGGAGUGCCUUACCUGCAUGCAUGGCAUGCAAUGCCCGUGGAUUCCAGAAGAGGGCGUCAGAAACACCGGAACUGAAGUUAACCCUCAGCUGGUACAUGGGUGCUUGAGAACAGAAUCCAGGUCCUCUGCAAGAACAGCAAGUGCUCUUAACUACUAAGCCAUCUUUUCAGCCGCAAGGCACUCUUUUCAAAUUAAUGUUGUUACUUUAUUUCAUGUGUAUAUGUGUCUGAGUGUAUGUACGUGAAGCACAUGCAUGCAGGUAGGACUCCUGCACGCCCAGAUCUCUUGGAACUGGAGUUACAGAUGAUUGUGAACUGCCUGAUAUGCAUGGAUGCCUGGGAACUGAACCUUGGUCUUCUGAACAGCAAGUUCUCUCAAUUACUGAGCCAUUUCUUCAGCUGCACCUGUCCCCCCUCCCCCACAUACCAUCUUUUUUUCAGCAGAGGGAGGAGGUCAGGGUUUCUCUGUUUAGCCCUGACUGACCUGGCACUUGCUGUGUAGACCAGGCUGGCCUUGAACUCACAGAGCUCCUCCUGCCUCUGCCUCCCAACUGCUGAGAUUAUAGGUGGGAGUCACCACACCCAGCUUCCGUCACCUUUUUGGAGACAGGGUCUCACCAGCUGGCCGGGAACUGCUUGCUCUGUAGACCAGGCUGUCCUCAGCUCAGAGAGAUCUCCGUGUCGCCGCCUCCAGAGGGCUGGGAUUGCAGGUGUGCACCACCACACCUGGUGCCAGGCACUCUUUGGUGCCCAUGCUGCCCCACCUCUUCUCUUAUGCUGCCCGGCACACAGCCUCAUUGCAACCUCCAGGAAUGUGAACGUUACAAAUGGCUGGUGCUGGCUCGAGGCGUGCCCUGCCUCAUCACUCCUGAUUCAAAGGGCUGUAAUUCAAGCUACAGUUCCCUGUAGCUGCAGCCAGCUCAGAACUCUCCUGCCCCCAGUACCCAGCUCUUCCCGCACACUCUCACUAGACCUUACACUGUAUGGCUAACUGACCCUAGCCAGGGUCAGCAGGAUUCAGCUGCCCAGUCUCUGCUAUCCAGGAGCUGGGAAACAGCAGCCUGUUCUGGGCCUAGGGCUGCCCACAGUCUUAGUUUCUGAUGUGUGAGAGAAGAACUGACAUCUCACUUGUCUUCCCAAGGGCCUUGUUUGUCUCCAACUCCCAUGCCUGCCCUCUGGCUUGUACUCCCAGCUGGAACAGUGCUAAAGGGUGUGGGGCCCUCCAGACCAGGGGGAACUGGCAAGUGGUUCCAGUUUGACUCUAUACUCUCCACUGCUGGCCCCAGUGACUGGUGCCGGACCCUCAUCCCUCUCCUCUCUACCUGGAUAAAUUGUGUCACUUCCUGGGAGUGACUGUUCCGUCCUUCUGUCCUAGUGUCUGAGCUUUGGGAUAGAAAAAUCAUUGGGAGGAUUUAUUGCUGUGACUGCAAGUGUGACACGUAAAGACCAUCAAAACUGAGAUGCCCCUACGCCAAAGGCUGGAGCCCUGGCAGUUUGUGCUGAGUGGACAGCCUCUCCGGGGCAUGUACCAGGCUGGGCUCUCCUUCAGCUAUCCCCCUGAGGGGCCUUGGACUAUCUUAGUUAGGGUUUCUAUUGCUGUGACAAAAUAUGUGCCCAAAUGCAACUUGGGGAGGAAAAAGUUUAUGUCAACCUCACAGAUUAUGGUCCAUCACCGAGGGAAGUCAGGACAGGAAGUUAGUGUGAAACCUGGAGGCAGGGACUGGAGCAGAAGCCAUGAAGGAGGGCUGCUUACUGGCUUAUUCCUCCUGGCUUACUCAGCCACUUCCUUUUAAGACCCAGGACCACCUGCCCAGGAUUCUCCUCACAGUGAAUGAGGCCCGCCCACAUCAAUCAUCUAUCAAGAAAAUGGCCCCCGCAAGGCAAUCUGGUGGGGGCAUUUUCUCGAUAGAGGUCCCCUCUUCCCAAAUGGCUCUAGCUCGUGUCAAAUUGACACAGAAGUAGGCAGCAUUGUGACCCGCAGCCUCUUACCCUCCAUGUCCUGCCCACUCUGCUUCCUCUUCCUCGGUGACCCAGUACCCUGCCCCGACACCUUCCCUGCUUCCCCGGGCCUGCUCCACGUCCGAUCUGUCUCAGGAACCCCUAGAUACCAGGAUCCGGGCACAACUCCUCUGCAAAGUACCCUCCAAGGUCAGCCUGUGCAGAGCGGCUUGAGGCCAGGGGGAGGGAGAAGUGUCCUUUGUGCUCUGCAGUCUUCUGACCUAGCUCCUGUCCCGGAGCCCAUCUGCUGUUGUGGUACACCCCCGCACCCUUAUCACAGGAAACCAUCCCAGGGUCCCUUCCCUUAGGCCACUCUGCCCUUCCCUCUGCUCUGACCUAUCCUCUUGCCUCUGUCAAGCCUUCUGCAGGCGCCCUCUUUCCUGCUGUUCCGAGACUGGGUGAGGAGACCCCCUUCUCUGUGAGAGCAAAUGUCUUAAAUUAUAUCUGUGCAGGUCUGGAAGGGACUGGGAGCCUCGAAGGCAAGAGCACCCCAGCUUCCCAGGUGCACUGAGCCUAGCUGGGUGCCUGGCACCUUCUGCCACUCCUUAGCCGCAUGCCGGACAGCUGAAUGAAUAGACACCCCUCCCUCCCCUGCACAUGGCCACCGGGGCAGUUAGGAGUCUGUGUGACUUCAAGCACAGCCAGACGGAGCUAUAUUUAGACACCAGGGCCAGGGCGAGCUUCUGGGGCGGAGGAGGUGGCAGAGCCCUGCAGUGGGGCCCCAGGGGACUCCUCGUGCACUGGGACAGUCGCUGUGUGAGAGGCCGGAGUCAUUACACUCCCACAGGCUUCCCUACAUGAGAAAGGCAGGGGCAGCUUCUCUUCGCCCCUGGAGGCUCUCAGGCUGGCUCCAUGUACAGCUGGAAAAAUAAGAGUCGGUCUGGUUGGUCAGUUCCGAGGCUGGGCCAGGCUGAGGGCAGGAGUUUGGGGGCUCCUUUGGUCUGUUCCUGUUGUCUGCUUGUCUUCCCUCCCUUCCUCCUCAGUGGGCACCGAGCCAGGCUAGCUGGGUGUGGCUAGUGGGAAGCCCACGAGGGGCCCGUCCUAGCCUUGGCCACCAGCUAGCUACCCAGCUCUGGGGCGGGUAGGAGGCAGGAUGGAUGUUCGCAAUAAUUACCCAGCUGCAGUUUCCUCAGCGCGGCAGCCAUAGCAACGGGGCUGGCGCCCCAGCAGCGGCCAAGGGGCAGGGGGAGACAUGGGCACCCUGGGAAGGUUGGGAAGGGUGGCAUGAGGCCUAGGCACAGCCCCCAGCUCCCUCUGUUGGCACCCUCCCUGGACCACUCAUUUCCGGGGGCGGGGGGGGGGGGACGGGAGGAGGCUUUGUCAGCACCAGGAGGCUGGCACAGCCCAAGGGAGUCUCAGGGGAAGCACCAUUCCCCUUGCCAGGACCUGUGGGGCAGCGAGAGCAGGUAGGAUGUGUGGAUGUGUGUGCCCAGAGUCCCAGUACUUUACUGGGUCGAUGCAUGUCCCCCUCUUCAGCUGCUGGCCACGGACCCAGGACACAUAAUCUAAGCACCGAAAAUGCCAUCCCUCUCCGGGAGUGCAGCAUCUCUGUGGCUGCCGGUGCUCCCUUGGGAAGGAUGUUUAUGGCUCUCUCACCCAGGUCCACUCAAAGCAGGCACAGAGCUGCCCUUGGCAGGAUAGGGUCUGCUUGGGGGUUUGCCUGUGGGGGAGGGCCUUGGGACCACCAAAUCACCGCCCCACUCUAUUGUAGGAGGCCCCGCCUCCCUCCCGCUUGCAGAAGUUGGAUUGGAUGGAGGGACUAUGUUUAUGCUCAUUUUAUAGGCAGGAAAAUUGAGGUCAGAGAGAUGCGUGUCCUGUCUAAGGUCACACAGCUGAAAACCCUGUGGGGUCUUGGUUCAGCCUAACAGUCAUUGUCUUGAUAACGCUGUGGGGCCCGUUCGCUCCUCCAAGCUAUCUGGCCAUGGUGCACAGUGGUUAGUGGGAGUGCGGGCGCUGACCUCAGGAGGCUCAAUCAACUUCUCUGAUCUUUCUUUCUUUCUUUUUUUUUUUUUUCUCUCUGCAAGACGGGGAUGUCGCAGGACGUGUCCCUGUUGACUGGGCAGGGUUUAAAGAAAGCAGAGCGUGGCACCUGGCUCGUGGGAAGUGUGAGCCAGAGUCACAGCUAGACAGAGCUAGAAAUGGUGUGUCUUGGUAUUGUUGCUACAACAGGAGUCAGGCAGACCUUGAUGUUUACUGAGGACCCCUUGGCUCUGCCCGGCCCACCAAGGUUUUUCUGGGCUCUUGCUGGCUGAGCUGGGCAGGCUCUGGGACAUGGGAAUUCACACAGCCCAGUGAGGAGGUGGGUGCUAACAGGCUAAUCCCAGGAGCCCCAAGUCCCAGGAGUCCCACAGUCUGAGGCACAGACUGAAAAGAGUAGAAGGAGGUGAGAAGAGGCCCGAGGCGGAGCCCUGGGUGUGUGUGGCAGGACCUGACAGUCGAAAAGAGAUUAAUUACAUCUGCACCCUCCCCCCCCAGGGGGGGCUGGAAAAGUCAGAGGAACAUCCUAGAAUAGACUGUCCUUGGAGGAACUGGAGAGGGAGCAGGGUUUGGGGACCCGGGGAGACUCAGUUUGAGCUGGGUUUCUGGGCUUUCAAGAACCUGAGUUCUUGGGUGUGACUCUGAGGCGGCACCCAGCUUUGUCCAGGUUGAAAUUUUUUUUUUUUUUUGUCAACUUGUUGCAAGCUAGAGUUCUCUGGGAAGAGGGAGCUCACCUGAGAAAAUGCCUCCACCAGAUUGGCCUGUAGGCAAUCCUAUGGGGCAUUUUUUUUUUUUCUUUUUAAUUAGUGAUUGAUGUGGGUAGGUGGUCCUGAGGUGUUUGAGAAGGCAGUCCAAGGAAGCCACAAGCCAGUAAGGAGCCAUCCUCCAUGGCUUCUGCUUCAGCUCCUGCCUCCAGGUCCCUCCCUUGAAUUCUUCCUCUGACUUCCCUUCCUGAUGGACUGUGAGCUGGACACAUAACCUGAAAUAAAACCUUUCUUCCUCAA